rnacentral:rRNA from 1 species
AUUGAACGCUGGCGGCAGGCCUAACACAUGCAAGUCGAGCGGUAGAGAGGUGCUUGCAUCUCUUGAGAGCGGCGGACGGGUGAGUAAUGCCUAGGAAUCUGCCUAGUGGUGGGGGAUAACGUUCGGAAACGGACGCUAAUACCGCAUACGUCCUACGGGAGAAAGCGGGGGAUCUUCGGACCUCGCGCCAUUAGAUGAGCCUAGGUCGGAUUAGCUAGUUGGUGAGGUAAUGGCUCACCAAGGCGACGAUCCGUAACUGGUCUGAGAGGAUGAUCAGUCACACUGGAACUGAGACACGGUCCAGACUCCUACGGGAGGCAGCAGUGGGGAAUAUUGGACAAUGGGCGAAAGCCUGAUCCAGCCAUGCCGCGUGUGUGAAGAAGGUCUUCGGAUUGUAAAGCACUUUAAGUUGGGAGGAAGGGUAGGUAACCUAAUACGUU